CCUACGGGCGGCAGCAGUGGGGGAUAUUGCACAAUGGGGGGAACCCUGAUGCAGCGACGCCGCGUGGGUGAAGAAGCGCCUCGGCGCGUAAAGCCCUGUCAGCAGGGAAGAAAAUGACGGUACCUGAAGAAGAAGCCCCGGCUAACUACGUGCCAGCAGCCGCGGUAAUACGUAGGGGGCAAGCGUUAUCCGGAUUUACUGGGUGUAAAGGGGGCGCAGACGGCGAUGCAAGCCAGGAGUGAAAGCCCGGGGCCCAACCCCCGGACUGCUAUUGGAACUGCGUGGCGGGAGUGCAGGAGGGGGAGGCGGAAUUGCUGGUGUAGCGGUGAAAUGCGUAGAUAUUAGGAGGGACACCAGUGGCGAAGGCGUCUUACUGGACCGAAACUGACGUUGAGGCUCGAAAGCGUAGGGAGCAAACAGGAUUAGAUACCCCAGUAGUC
rnacentral:rRNA from 1 species